GGAAAUUUUAACGUGUGGAAUGAAUACUUCAGACAAAUAUAUUACUGACGCUUCGUGGGAGGCAUUUAUUGCAAGGUACAUCACAGUGUAAGCUUCACAGUGAACAUCUGUCACGUUACGAGACGCUUGAAAGACGGCGAGAGAACCAAUUGCAGUUACCUAGAAGAGCUGGCAGAAACAAGACAAAUCAAAGGAGCUAACACUGAAGAGGCAUCUGAUGCUGCUGGGUGCAAAAUGGUGCAAAAAUGGAGAUGAAUGAAAAAUGAUGUGUGUUUGGUUCCACCUGAUAAAAGCACAUAAUAGCCAAGGGUAUUCGAAGGGUAAUUGGUUCUCAUGGGGACGUUAGUGAUUAUCAGCAUUUACAGGGGUUAGUCUGUGAUUUUAUUGCCAUCUGAAUCCAGAAUGUCAUUAUUUUUUCUCCCACAAUCCCCAUAAAAAUCUCCAGCCGAAUCCCAAGGUCAUGUGUUAAUUUAAUCGCUGUCCAAAUCCACAUCUCUGAGAUUAAAUCAUUUCAAAAGUAAAAUUAUAGUUAUUUUUUACUGAUCUCAGGGCAGGUGUCACGAAUACGAACCCCGUGAGUCCCUCCAGAGGCCAGCAGAGGACACCAUCGCCCGAAUACUGACACCUACAGGCAUCCAAACACUCACUUACACUGAUACUCACCACAUUACC